CAGGGGUUUGUUACCUGGGGGAGCCGGAGGGGAGGGGGUGCUGUUCAGUGCAGUCGGCUUCCUGUGAAAGUUCAGCCACCUUAGCAGGUAAUUAAGGCCCGGCUGUACUCAGCCUGGGUGAGAUCCAUAAAGCGAUGAUGUGACAGCCUUAAUUAGCGAGGCCUUUUCUUCAUAAAUACGUAUGGCACUUAAUGAGCAUCAGAAUGGAGCCUGGAUUUGCAGCCGCUGCUGGCCGUGAAUCUCGCGCACAGGAGGAAGCAAGGCGACUCUCCUGGGAAGCGCGUCUCCCUUCAGCAGCCCCGCCUGUGCCCGGGAUCCUGGGCCGGACGGCUCACUGCAGACUUCUGGCCUCGGGGUCCUGAGCUCCCGAGACCCGGCGCUCUCGUCUGCCAGAAAGUGAGGCAACAAGCGAGUGGAUCGGCAGGAGCCAGCUUGGCCCCUCUGGGUGCUGCCCGUGGUCAUUUCCUGCCGUCUCGCAGCAUGGGGACCUGGGGAGCAGGGUCGGUGUCACUCACGGUGGUGGGCAGUGAACGCCGGUCUGCUGAUGUCACUGGUGUUGGGGGUGAGGAGGCACAGUCCAGGCGUGAAGGCCUUUCUGGUGGCUGGCAUCUCGGCCCGGACCCCCUUCCGGCCAGGCCCACCACUGCCCUGCCUGAAACCCCAGCCUCUCUGUGCGGGAGGCGCCCCAUACCUACGAGGGGCCGCCCGCCUGUCUUGCCUCCAGGAUCCCGGGCGAGCCUGGUAGUCUGUCCUCACGACAUCAGCUUCGACUAAACCGUGAACUUCCGUGCCAUCAGAGGUGCAGCCUGAUGGGGACCAUGUCCGGGAGCUGCCUCAUUCAUCAGCGGGUACAGCAAGGUGGCCCAUCCGUCCCGUGGAAAGACAGACAAGGCGCUCACAUGAGCUACAGCACGGAAGAGUCUUGAAAACGUGGUGCCGACAGGAGGAAAAUCAGCUUCUGGUGACUGUGAGAUGAACUCACGGGCAGGAUGUUCGCCCCCUACCUCCCCAGGAUGGACGGGACUGGGAGUCUCUGGAAUCAUCCACGCUGGAGUCGCCUCGGAACCAUCGGGAGGCCGGAAACAAGAGAUUCGAGCUGAGUGUCCGGGAAAGACAAUCCGCCACGGAAUGCACCGGCCUGGUGGGAGGACAGGAAGCUGCCCAGGAGCCGGCGGGCCCACUCACCCACCCAGCUCAGGUCAAGCCUAAGUCCUGCACAGGUGCAUGUGAUGGGUGGAAUCUACAGCUCAGCUUGAACUCAAGCUGCAAAGGGUUCUGGGAAAUGUAGUUCUUAGCGUUGCAGCUUCCAUAGUCCAGGAAGGCGUGCUCCGACUCUGAACAGAUGGAGAGAGCCAGCGCCCCGUGGCCACACACAGCCCAUAAUCCCUGGGCACUGCGCUUUCCAAAGGGUGGCAUGGGCUACAUACCACGUUGUCCUGAUCUCCCACCCUGCCGGAGCAGGGGGGAAGUUGGCCCCUAAAACUCAGGACAGAAGGUAAGAGGUUAGGGCCGGACUGGUGUCAGCAUCUUAGCUACUGCUCACUCCUUAGCACUGGGAGCUUCUGCGACCUAUCAAGUUUGCCAUAAACUCACGGGAUGCGGAUUUUGUCACUCGUA